GACGAACGCUGGCGGCGUGCCUAAUACAUGCAAGUCGAACGCAGUGGGGACGGGUGAGUAACACGUGGGUAACCUCCCAUCAGAGGGGAUAACACUUGGAAACAGGUGCUAAACCGAUACUGAUGGAUGGACCCGCGGGGCAUUAGCUAGUUGGUGAGGUAACGGCUCACCAAGGCCACGAUGCAUAGCCGACCUGAGAGGGUGAUCAGCCACACUGGAACUGAGACACGGCCCAGACUCCUACGGGAGGCAGCAGUGGGGAAUCUUCGGCAAUGGACGAAAGUCUGACCGAGCCAUGCCGCGUGAGUGAAGAAGGUUUUCGGAUCGUAAAGCUCUUUUGUUAGGGAAGCGUUAUCUAACCAGAAAGCCACGGCUAACUACGUGCCAGCAGCCGCGGUAAUUC
rnacentral:rRNA from 1 species